rnacentral:rRNA from 1 species
CCUACGGGAGGCAGCAGUAGGGAAUCUUCCACAAUGGGCGAAAGCCUGAUGGAGCAACGCCGCGUGGGUGAAGAAGGUCUUCGGAUCGUAAAACCCUGUUGUUAGAGAAGAAAGUGCGUGAGAGUAACUGUUCACGUUUCGACGGUAUCUAACCAGAAAGCCACGGCUAACUACGUGCCAGCAGCCGCGGGAAUACGUAGGUGGCAAGCGUUAUCCGGAUUUAUUGGGCGUAAAGGGAACGCAGGCGGUCUUUUAAGUCUGAUGGGAAAGCCUUCGGCUUAACCGGAGUAGUGCAUUGGAAACUGGGAGACUUGAGUGCAGAAGAGGAGAGUGGAACUCCAUGUGUAGCGGUGAAAUGCGUAGAUAUAUGGAAGAACACCAGUGGCGAAAGCGGCUCUCUGGUCUGUAACUGACGCUGAGGUUCGAAAGCGUGGGUAGCAAACAGGAUUAGAUACCCCAGUAGUC